UAGGGUUCUUGUAGUUGAAUGA
rnacentral:tRNA from 1 species